AUAAAUCACUCGAAAGUGUGGAAGAAAUGUAUACAAAUAAUCUUCCAUCCGUAGGUAGGAUUUGCAGGGUCAUGGCAUGGUGUAACAUAUCAGUACAUCUACCGAAUCAAUACAUGCCAAAUAGUAGUAUAGCUUGAGGAUUUAAACACCUGCAGAUGAAAUGAGGCAGUUCUCCUGUUUUUCAAUGCAAAUGAUUGCCAACGUUGUGCUCACAUGCUCACCUGAAACUGCACACACACACACACCACACAGAUUCCAUCAAAGUAUUGCACUUCAGCACACAUUUGGUGAAGCGUUUAAAAGUAGGCAUCGUAAUCUAGAUGAAAUAAAUUCUUCAUUGUCGUAAUUCUGAAUAGAGCCAUUUUGAUAGUGCAUAUGGUUGAAUAGAAACAUACAAAUGGUAAAAACUAAAUACAACUAGACAGAUUAAACGCAAUUUAAGAAUUUAUAAGCUGAGAUCUCAAAACAUUGUGUCCCAAAUUAAUUUAACCGCCAGGAUUUCCUACUCAAUCACUUCAUAAAUUAUCAAGUUUCAGCACUAAAUCUAAUUACAAGUAGGGUAACUUCCGUCGGCAUUGCCCAUUGCAAAAUGAUCGAAAUAUAUUUAAGUGUCGUAUCCAUAUAUCGCCCUCCCUUGGCCCUAUGCACAAUUUUUGUACUCGUAUGUGUUUCAAUCCAAAAUUCCAAAUAAAUUUUUUAACAGCUGAUGAGAUUCUUAUCAAUACCAUUCUCGAGCUGGUAAGCAAUUUCACAUUCUUAAAUCUCUCAACAAGGAAUCUGAAGCCUUUAACAUUUUCCACUUGCCGUGUCUUAAUGCCAGAUUCUUUUACCUCUCGAAUCCAAACAUUUCAUUUCUUGGAUACUAUGAUUGUAUACUCAAGUCAGAGAAACACUUAUUGAAACAGCACAUGGCUACAUGUUGACUAGUGAGGAAAACAUUGUACACAAAUCAUUCUAUCGAGGACAUAUAAUGCUUCUCAUGGAAUAGGUGUUUCAAGAUAGAACAGGAGAUAAAAAUGUAAUAAACAUAUUUUCCUCAAGGGCGAGAGGAUAUCAAGAUUUUAAAAGCAUUGCUCAUAUUUUUAUGUAUCAUACAUCUAGAGCAACAAUAUCUUUCACAUAACCUGAGUUAUCCAUCACCACCUAAGAUCUCCCAAAUGUAUAACUGUGGACCUGCCUUUUCUGGUAGCAACCCCUACACUACCUUAAGUAUUAUCAUCGCUCAAAUCAUUUAAAAAAAAAAAGAAAAUAUGAAACUCUUGUAAGUUGUUCUACAAAGCCCAUAAGUAACAAAUCUAGAGAUCCACAUAUACAAACAGAAUUAUCAAUUUCUGUAUAACCUACUCAUAAUUCAAAAAUAGAGUCAUUGUCUACCUCCAUACUAUUCCUAUGCAAAGGAAAAUGUGCAAUUCACCCUACAUUAUCUGGAUUUGAUUCCUGUAUGUAGCCUGUAGGCUUCAAGCCAUGGUGUAGUUUGUGACCUGUAUAUAAAUCAAAAAAAU
rnacentral:lncRNA from 1 species